AUGCAACGUUUUGUAUAUAUCAACGAUGAGUCCUGCCGGGAUUCCUACCGUGACAAUCGGGUUUCCAAUACCAAAUACACCUUGUGGAAUUUUCUCCCUAAGAAUUUAUUGGAACAAUUCAGGCGUUUCAUGAAUCAGUAUUUUCUGCUAAUCGCCUGCCUUCAGUUGUGGCCCACUAUUACUCCUGUAAGUCCUGCAACUACAUGGGGCCCGCUUGCCAUAAUCUUCACUGUUUCUGCUUCAAAAGAGGCUUGGGAUGAUUACAAUAGGUAUCUUUCCGACAAGAAAGUAAAUGAAAGGAGAAUCUGGGUGGUAAAGGAUGGCAUCCGUAGACAGAUCAAAGCAAGGGAGAUACAUGUCGGAAAUAUAGUGUGGCUCCAUGAGAAUGAUGAGAUCCCAUGUGAUCUCGUUCUCAUUGGAACUUCUGAUCCUCAAGGCAUCUGUUAUGUUGAGACCGCAGCUUUAGAUGGUGAAACUGAUUUGAAAACCAGAAUUAUCCCUUCAAUUUGUGCUGACCUGUCAUCGGAGCAAUUGGGGAAAAUCAAGGGUGUAGUUGAGUGCCCCAACCCAGAUAAUGACAUAAGAAGAUUUGAUGCUAACAUGCGCUUGUUCCCUCCUAUCAUUGAUAAUGAGAAAUGUCCUUUAACUAUCAACAAUACACUUCUUCAGUCAUGUUACUUACGGUACACGGAAUGGGCAUGUGGAGUUGCAAUUUACACAGGCAAUGAAACCAAAUCAGGAAUGAGCCGAGGAACUGCGGAGUCCAAGCUUACCGCUGCUGAUUCAAUGAUAGACAAACUCACCGUUGCAAUAUUUGUUUUCCAAAUUGCUGUUGUUCUUUUGCUGGGUCUUGCUGGCAAUAUCUGGAAGGACAGCCAUGGUCGUAAGCUAUGGUAUCUCAUGUAUCCUGCUGAAAGACCAUGGUAUGAUUUCUUGGUUAUCCCGUUGCGCUUUGAACUACUGUGUUCAAUAAUGAUUCCGAUUUCCAUAAAGGUUACUCUUGAUUUGGCUAAAGGUGUAUACGCAAAGUUUAUUGAUUGUGAUGAUCAAAUGUUUGAUCCGGAAACAAAUACACCUGCCCACUCAGCUAACACAGCUAUUAGCGAAGACCUUGGGCAGGUUGAAUAUAUAUUAAGCGACAAAACUGGGACAUUGACAGAGAAUAGAAUGAUUUUCAAAAGAUGUUGCAUAAGUGGUGUUCUAUACGGAGAUAACACUGGAGAUGCUUUAAAAGAUGCCAGACUUCUAAAUGCUGUCUCUAGUAACGAUCCGGAUGUAGUCAAAUUUCUGAUGGUGAUGGCUCUUUGCAACACAGUUGUUCCUAUCAAAAGCAAUGACGACACUAUUUCAUACAAAGCACAAUCACAAGAUGAGGAAGCUUUGGUCAAUGCUGCAUCAAACCUGAAUAUGUUGCUUACAAGUAAAGACAGCAGCGGCAUUGCUGAGAUUUGUUUCAAUGGUUCUAAAUUUUGUUAUGAGGUAUUGGAUGUUUUGGAGUUCACUUCUGAUCGCAAAAGAAUGUCUAUUGUGGUAAAGGAGGUCAAGAGUGGGAAGUUUCUUCUUCUCUCUAAAGGUGCUGAUGAAGCUAUUUUCCCACGUUCUUGUCCAGGACAACAAACAAAGACCUAUCUUGAGGCAGUAGAAAUGUAUUCUCAUUUGGGUCUGCGAACAUUAUGUUUGGGAUGCCGUGACUUAGGAGAAGAUGAAUAUAAAGAAUGGUCCAAAAAGUUUCAAGAUGCUAGCUGCUCACUGGACAACAGGGAGCAUAAAAUUGCCGAAGUCUGUAACAGCUUAGAGCAAGGUAUUCACAUUCUUGGUAUCACCGCCAUAGAGGACCGUCUCCAGGAUGGUGUGCCUGAAACUAUUAAAUUGCUAAGGAAGGCUGGAAUCAAUGUGUGGAUGCUAACUGGUGAUAAGCAAACUACAGCAAUCCAGAUUGGACUUCUCUGUAACCUCAUAACACCUGAGUCCAAAGGUCAAUUGUUGUCCAUCAAUGGAAAAACUGAAGAUGACAUAUUACAGAGCUUAGAGAGGGCAUUGAUAAUUAUGAAGACUGCGUCGGAAAGAAAGGAUCUUGCAUUCGUUUUGGAUGGUUGGGCACUCGAAAUAAUUCUGAAGCGUUCGCUGGAAUCUUUCACUAAGCUGGCCAUGAUGUCAAGAACAGCAAUAUGCUGUCGGAUGACACCUUUGCAGAAAGCACAGCUUGUUGGGAUCCUGAAAUCCUCUGGCUCUUUAACUCUAGCAAUUGGUGAUGGUGGUAAUGAUGUAAGAAUGAUUCAAGAGGCUAACAUUGGAGUAGGGAUUAGUGGUAGGGAGGGACUGCAAGCUGCAAGAGCUGCUGAUUAUAGCAUUGGAAAGUUCAAGUUUCUCAGAAGGUUGAUACUUGUCCAUGGUCGAUAUUCAUACAAUCGCACAGCAUUUAUUUCGCAGUACUCUUUCUACAAGUCACUGUUGAUUUGCUUUAUACAGAUUCUUUUUUCCUUUUCGUCAGGGCUUUCUGGAACUAGUAUCUUCAACUCGAUUAGCCUGAUGGCCUACAAUGUUUUCUACACAAGUCUUCCGGUUAUGACAAUAAUUUUUGACAAGGAUAUCUCUGAAACAACAGUUCUGCGAUAUCCCCAGAUUUUACUUUAUUCUCAAGCUGGGAGGCUCUUGAAUCGCAGUACAUUUGCUGAAUGGUUUGGGCGAUCGCUGUACCAUGCAUUUGUUGUUUUCCUAAUUACCAUCAACGCAUAUGCUGAUGAGAAAAGUGACAUGGAGGAGCUCUCCAUGGUCGCCCUGUCUGGAUGCAUUUGGUUGCAAGCUUUUGUGGUGACGCUGGAUACUAACUCAUUUACUUGUCCACAAAUCACCCUCAUAUGGGGGAACUUUGUAGCCUUCUACAUGAUCAACUUAAUACUCAGUGCGGUACCAACCCUUCAGAUGCACACUGUCAUGUGGCAUCUGUGUAAUCAACCUUCAUACUGGAUCACCAUGGCCCUGAUUGUUGCGGCAGGAAUGGGCCCGGUGCUGGCUCUUAGAUACUUGAGGAACGUGUACCGACCUAGUGCCAUCGAUGUUCUCCAGCAAAUUGAGCAAACCGACGGACAUGCCCAAGCCCCGGGGAAUUUGGAGUCGUCGACUGGGACCUAUCUCGAUUAUUUACUAACUGACUUGCGUAGGAACAAGAGUUCCAUCCAUCAACCUUUGCUUUCGGAUUCUGCAUCUAGCAGAUGA
rnacentral:rRNA from 1 species